rnacentral:sRNA from 1 species
UUUGCUCAUUGAUGCAGCUAUUGCAUGAUCACACCCUUAAGAUAACAGCACUGCUGUCUACGAACACACGUAAACUAUGUGUAUAUGUCUGAGAUUAGAGGGUACAAAGACCACACGUGUGGUUUCUGACCCAUGUCUCAACACAUGUUUACAUCAGCUGUUUCUUUCAUUGUUUGUCAAAUUUAUGUAAUACUGUAUAUACACUUUAGACUAUCUAUGCUCAAAAGCAUGGACCUCAGUCCAUCUGUGUCAUACGAAAUGUAUGUAUCAUUAGUGAUCUGUUCCUAAAAAGUCAGGCCACCAAAGUAUUUGCUUGCCUUCACCCAACUUAGUUAUUUAUUGGCAGGGAAACAAAAGAAAAAUUCUAAUUUUGCAAGAAAAUGAAGUAGAAAAUAGAUCAAUUGCAAACAACUGGUUUUCCAUAAGAAAAUAUGCGGAGAUAAUGUUGAUAAAAACGUCUUGAGUCAGCGACAUUUUCGUCAGGGCAUACAAACAACAAUUUAAAAGGUGGCUCUGAAGAACUAAUCUCUAAAUCUCACCAUGUUACAUGCUACAAUAACACCUUCAAAAGGCCAGUAUCAGGCUAUGUGAAGCUUCUAAUGGCUGCAAAGUGAAUUAACUUACCACAACAUGGUGUCCCAUUAACUCGUAGGACUGCCGAUUUCUCUGAUAAAUAAGCAUGUCAAUGGUGUCAUAAAUAAAGUAUCCUGUAAAAGAAAUCAUGUCCAGUUACCAUGGUUACACAUGGAAUUCAUUCCUGCUGACAGCCACUGAAAUAUAUCUCUUUCAUAUACAUGUAUGAAUACCCCCCC